rnacentral:rRNA from 2 species
AGACCCGAAACCCGGUGAUCUAGCCAUGGGCAGGUUGAAGGUUGGGUAACACUAACUGGAGGACCGAACCGACUAAUGUUGAAAAAUUAGCGGAUGACCUGUGGCUGGGGGUGAAAGGCCAAUCAAACCGGGAGAUAGCUGGUUCUCCCCGAAAGCUAUUUAGGUAGCGCCUCGUGAAUUCAUCUCCGGGGGUAGAGCACUGUUUCGGCUAGGGGGCCAUCCCGGCUUACCAACCCGAUGCAAACUGCGAAUACCGGAGAAUGUUAUCACGGGAGACACACGGCGGGUGCUAACGUCCGUCGUGAAGAGGGAAACAACCCAGACCGCCAGCUAAGGUCCCAAAGUCAUGGUUAAGUGGGAAA